UCCCAGGACCGAAGCCUCUUCCGAUCAUUGGAAACAUACUCGAAUUCGGAUUCGACAUUACUAAUAUGAUGACAAAUUUCAGUAGAAUAUGCUCGAACUACAACGGAAUUUGUAGGUUGUUCUUAGGCCCCAAGACGGUUCUUGUCGUGGUUUGGCAUCCGAAAUAUUUAAAGAAAAUCUUCAAGCAUUAAUUCUUCGGAGCAUAUAGAAAAAACGAAUUUUUACGAUUUCUUCAAAGGUAUUACUGGAAAAGGAAUUGUAAGUGUUGAAGGGCCAAUUUGGCAUAAUAAUAGGAAAGCGCUGCAGCCGGCAUUUCAAUAUGCAAUGCUCGAAGAUUUCAAUAAAAUUUUCAAUAAAGCAGGUGACAAAUUGCUGAAAAAGUUUGAGAAAAUUCAGGAACGUCAAGUGGAUGUUAGCCCUUACAUCAAUAGCAGUACGAUGGAAACUACAUAUGAAAGUAUACUGGGAUUGAAUUUCGAAGAAAAUCAGAACGAAAAUUUGAAGUAUUCGAAUACCAUUUACCAGUACUAGACCUUGCUUAUUGCGCAUUUUUUCGCCAUCAAGAGAAGCGAUUUUUUGUACCAACUAUUGCCUGAACAAAAAGACAGCAAGAGCGUCUGCAAGAAAUAUUGAAUUUUACAUCUGCCAUCGUCGAUAAGAAGAGGGAAGAAAUGAAGCGACGAAGCGGUGAUAAUAUCU